UAGCCUGAAUCUACUCUCUGACAAUUUAUGGCCGUUAUUCCUUGUUACUCCCAGUAGUGCUCACGGCAACAAGGACUCUUCCAUUGCCUUCUGGUCUCCCUUGGCCAGCUCAUAGACAGCCA